ensembl:lncRNA
CUUUGGGACUGGUAGCCAAAGGCAAAGAGAGGUGCACUAGGUAUCUUGUGGCAUUAGAGAUGACAUCCAAGCAACUGAAUGGAAUCUUAAAUCUUGACUGACUACAAUGGAAUCUUAGGCAUCAAGAGCAGAACAUGUCUAUAUAUACACUUACAGCUAGGGAUCUCAAACUUGAAUGGAAUUCAACCUGGUAAGGGUGAGAUGAAGGAGCCCAGGAUGAAUAGGUGGCCAAUGCAGUUUCAUUCGCAAUUCUACUGCUGUUCCAGCUUAUCUCUACCAUCCCACAGGUUCUCUGUGAUAGCUCCCAGUCCCAUGAAAAUGUCUCAGAUACCUGUGGAUGUUGCAAAUAACACUUGACACCUCUGGAAAGACAACUGAAUCAGGCCUCAACAUUCAUUCAGACAACUUAUCUGCACACACACAUACACACACAAAUAAAAAAAUUCCAACACUCUAAUGUGUUCAAAUGUGUUAGGAAAUGCAUGAUUAGAUGCUGUCUAAUUGCAAAUAAUAGGCCUAAAAUGUCAUUUACCUACACUUUCUGUGAUUAUCUAAAAUUAAGUCAUCAUAUAAUCAUCAAUAACUGAAGGAAAAAUACCUGUUGUCCAAAGCCUGAGAGCUAUAUGCAAUACUCAAAGAUCCUUGGUAUAACAUUCAUUAGAAAGUGCAAUGUAACAGUAUUAACUGAAUUCUGCUGAAACUCUUUUUUUUUAACAAAGCUUUCUCCAUGGAAAUUUCCUCUACAGCAUAAUUCAUUGGAAAUGGAUAUGAAGGUUUUUUUUUCAGAGCAGGGCACAUUGAUCAGCUCCACCUCUCCAGGUGCAUUUUCUGCGUGCAUCACUGAAAAAUCAUUUGUGUAUUCACAUCUGACACUUUUACAUGAAACAUAGGACCUGUUCUUUUUAUGUGCUUUUUACACUAUGUAAACAUCAACAUCAUGUAUUUUCUAAAUAUAUAAUCACCAUUUUAUGUUUUCUCGAACAUCUGUAACAAUUUCUGGUGUUGAUGACCCUCAGGUCUUCGUUGUAUUCUCUCAGCCAACACAUGGAAGUACUUACAAAAUGGAAAGUUUUGCUGGGUGGGGCUCAGAUUUCUACCUGUGAGCAUAUUUGUAGCCAUAUUUCAAAUCAAAAGACACAGCAGAAUGAUGCAGUAAUCUGUCCUUGGAGCUCUGAGCUAGUAUUAACAUCACUAUUAUAGCUUGUUCCUAAUUAAGCGGGAAGACUUCUCAAAGACUUAUUCAAAAUAAGAAACAGAAGCGAAAAGAGAGGAACAGAAAAAGGAAAAUGCAGUUAAAUUUGGAAUCUGUGUCCACUUUUCAAACAGCACACGAAGAUAGGCAGAAAAAUUGAGAGCACUAGUGACUGAAAGUGAGAAGUCUUAUUUUGGCCUUGGAGUUGAAAGGUUCAGUUUCAGUGCAAAGUGCUUUAAAAAUAGCUAUGCUGACAAAUGAUUAACGUCUACUACUUUAAACAAAAAGCUGAAAGAAGCCUAAGAAACUGGUAUCGAUAUACAGCAGAUUCUCAGUUUCUCAACUGAUUACUUAGGAAACACUGAGAAAGCUCCCUGUUAAAAGGCAAUUAUGAGAAGAAUGUGUACUUGCAGAAAGGAACUUGGCCUCAGAAAGAUGCAUCUAAUUGAGCCGAAGGUAGGAAUAAAGGAAUGAGGUGUUCCUCCCAUGCGCGUAUUCAAUGAAGUCUGAUAGCACAUGAUGGUUGUGCUAAACAUUGGUUCUCUUAACCUUGGAAACUGAGUGAAGAAUGGAAAGUGUGGCAUAUUAGAUGUACAGUUUGAUGCUAUCCUACUUGAAUAACUAUUCAUUCCAAAUUUUUCUUGUUUUCCCUGAUGAAAGUUCACUAUCAUGGAAUUUAAUCCUUUUGUUUAUUUAAACAGUGCUUAAUAUGCAGCUGGAGUUAACAUCUUCACUUUGUAACUAUUUGAGUACUGGUACAGCCACCUCUACAAGGAGAUUGAGGACCCAUAGCCCACUUCAUGCCUUACUUCUCAAUUGACACUCUUCAGCUCUCUGAAUAAAAAGACUCUUUUACUCAAGAAAAAGUAACAAAUAAAAGUAUUUUUUUUAAAAAAAAGAUCAGGUUUUUUUCUAUGGUAGAAUUUGAGCUUUUAAUGAAAAACUGAAAAUAUCUUCACUCUGAAAUGUCACUUUGGUGCUCACCUGGUUCAUCCAUGGAUUAAAGGGGACCAGAGAUACAGAAAGCACGAGCCAAUGCCACAACCAAACACCUAUGUUUCAAUGGAAACUGAAAUCUCAAAACAGAUCAAGACUGAGCUAUUUAUGUUUCUGUGGUAAAACUUCCACAUCAGACACUUUCACGAACAUUUAAUUGAAAGUUCCAUUUUUCUUUUGAAACAGCCUCAGAUGAAUUUUCUUGGACUCACAGUGGUUGAAUUGUUGGCCAGAGAGGCUAUACAUAUAAACAACCAUCCACAACGGGUCAGCUUGUCAUUUCACAGUGGAAAUAGUCACUCAGAUAUGAAGUGUAUUCCCUGCUGUUAACCCACUAAAUCAUUCAAUUCAUUACUUAAAAUUGAUAAUAAUUUUCACUUUCUUUGCUGCACCAUAUUUGAAGCUAUUGAUCUAAAACUUCACAGUUUUUUUUACCUUCCUCCUUUCUGGCUUUGAUAGAUCUCAGUUACCCACGGGAUACCAGUCCAGCUCAAAAAAUACCUCUUUUUAGGAUAGAAUUCCACUGACAUAUAUUUGGCUGUAAAUUAGGAAUGUCUUAUCCAUCAGCUGCUUUCUACCACGAAGCAACACUGCCUCUUCCCUUGUACAUAAAAAAGCAAAAUGCUGGUGGAGAUAUAACAUUAAUUAAAAUAAAACAAAACAAAACAAACAAACAAACAAACAAAAAAAAAAACAAAAAGAUACCAUGAACUUGUAGAGUAGUUUUAUUAAGCUGGCUUGUGUUAUAUCUGUAGUUUCAGCCUAGUUCAUGAGAAUCCAGCUUGCUACUGUCAUAUUUUUGUUGUUCUCUUUUUUAAUGUUUUAAUAAACACAUUUAUU